GUAAAGGUUUUUUUAAAAACCACCAAUUCAAGGAGGAACAAGGAUG
rfam:Monodelphis domestica chromosome 5, whole genome shotgun sequence.